UCGGGAAUUUUGGGUCAAUGGGCGAAAGCCUGACCCAGCAACGCCGCGUGAAGGAUGAAGUAUUUCGGUAUGUAAACUUCGAAAGAAUAGGAAGAAUAAAUGACGGUACUAUUUAUAAGGUCCGGCUAACUACGUGCCAGCAGCCGCGGUAAUACGUAGGGACCAAGCGUUGUUCGGAUUUACUGGGCGUAAAGGGCGCGUAGGCGGCAAUUCAAGUCAUCUGUGAAAUCUCCGGGCUUAACUCGGAACGGUCAGAUGAUACUGCUUUGAUAGAGUGCAGAAGGGGCAAUCGGAAUUCUUGGUGUAGCGGUGAAAUGCGUAGAUAUCAAGAGGAACACCUGAGGUGAAGACGGGUUGCUGGGCUGACACUGACGCUGAGGCGCGAAAGCCAGGGGAGCAAACGGGAUUAGAUACCCACGUAGUCCCUGAGCGGGCUGGCAAGGCGCAU
rnacentral:rRNA from 1 species